CUCUCCAUCCCCCCCAGGACCCUCCAGCCAAAGCCACCAUGAAGUCACCACGCUUGCGGGAGGGGUGAAGAAGGGCGAGUGAGGAAUAAUCUUUCAAUAUUGCAGGAACCAGCUGUACCUGGGCAGCGCGCAGGCAGCCACGAGCUUCUCUGCUCCUUCCCAUCUCCGAGAGUGACACAGGUAAACCUGGACCAGGCAGCUCCGGAAUGAUGGAUGUGACACACGUCUUCAUCACCCGCUAUUGAUGAUUGACGUGAGCCCUGGAGCAGGACAGCCUGGAACCCAGAGAUUAAUUUGCUUCAGCGCUUGCUUGGGCAAAAGCAGACAUGGUUAACCCUUUGUAGCCACAGGAUUGUGGAUGUGGAGGGAGUCACUCUUCCCUCGAGGCACAGGGCAGGAGAACGUGCCUGAAACCGCCCUUCUGUCUGGUAGUGGCAGUGCCUGGAAGAGCCCCAAAGGAUGAAGGUGUUUGAAAUCCAUGCCAGGAGCCAGAGCGCCCUCCGCAAGCGGCAGCUUGGAGCAAACUAGGACUGGAGGCAUAGAUUUAGAAGAUCCAGGCUUUUCCUCCUGGGACUCAACCGACCCUUUCAUCCAGCCCAUGGAAACAAGGAGCAAAUAUGGC